GAUUUCAACUGAAAAAGUCAUCAACAACAAAAUUGUAUAACUCAUCAAGAUCUAAAACUUUUAUUUUUAUCAUUUCUUCAUCCGACAAAUUAUUAGUAACAUUGUUCACAAAUUUUAAUAUAGUUUAUAAAACCAGAUAAGGGAUAUGUCAAUUUUGUGAACAAUGUAACUAUCACUUUGUCGGAUGAAUAAAUGAUCAAAAUAAAAGUUUUAGGUCUUGACGAAUUAUUCAACUUUGUUGUCGAUAACUUUUUCGGUUGAAAUC
rnacentral:pre_miRNA from 1 species